GGAAAUGAACACACACGGAUGCACUCCUCUCAUAUGAUAUUUUCCUUCAAACAACUUAUAAUUUGAUAUAUUUCAAAUUAAGUUGAGGGAAAAUUAAUCAUUAAACAUGGCAAAAAUCUCCUUUGUACUUCUCGUCGUCGCCCUUAUUGUCUUUCUAUAUGUAUCUGAGGCUCAUCGUUCGAUAAAUUCCAACGAACUAGUACUUGAAAACAACCUGAAUAAAGCUAAGGGCUUGAUCGAAGAAGACUUGAAGAAAAAGGAAAAGAACAUUAAGAAGUUGGAAACCGAUGUGAGUAUAUUAAGCAAAUCUGAGAUAAUUCUGAAGGAUCUCGAAGAAGCUUACAAAAAUGGUAAGAGUAUAGAGCCUUUCAGGAAAGAUAUCAAGAGACUCAACAAAGAGGUCAAGCAGGGGCCAGAGGAACUGAGAUACGUAACCAUAAUUAAAUGCAUUUUGAAGGAUUUGGGAUUAAACGGAGGGGAAUGUUAAAACAAGAAUUAGGGUUUGAUAAUUGUUUCGAUGCGUUUAAAGGAGGUUUCAAAAUGCCCCAUGGAGUUUGGCUUUACAAAUGAGAGGAGUAAAUAAUUUGCUCAGAGUAUUUAUUUAGCUAAUUGCUCAAUUGAAUAAUAAAUCAAUUGUAUUAUUAAACGAAAUACAUUACAUAUAAUCAAUCUACUAGAUAGUAACCCGCGCAAAGAUGUCUAUAUUAAUGUUGAAAUUAUAUAUUAUGAUUAUGUAUAACAUAAGAUAUACUUUAAGCGAUAGUUAGAUAGAACUAAAGGUAUGAUUGUUAUAAGGGGCGAAGCCAGAAACUUUUUUAUAAUGAGUUCACUAAUAUUAAAAUUUAAAAUAUGGUGUUUGCAAGUUUGGGAAGAAGAAGUUUUGGAAUUUUUUUUUUUUAUAUUUUGCCUAUCACGUUGUAGUAGUUAUGGACUUAAGGGAUUAACACAUAAAAUCAAAAAAAAGUAGAUUAAUAACAUAUUAUAAGCAAAACAAUAAUUGUGUGAAAAAAAAAAGUACAACUCCUUUAAAUUCAGUAAACAAAGUUGUAUAAUAAAAUAAAUUGAAGGUUAUUUGACCCUCUAAAUUGUAAAGGUUGUUCUAGUUGCGACCAACACGUGAGAUUUGCUGGUGGUUCGUUCCUGGAAGUUUCUUCUCAUCUUCAAGGUCAUCUAAUGUAGAGCUCUCAUGGCAGCGAAGGCGGUGAAACUCGCAUGCUUAUAUUGCUUACUCGAGAAGACUAAUACACUAAGCCGAGACGAUUUACAGUGAUUCAAUUUCCUCGAAACAGAGACCACCUCAUCGAGCAGUAACAAAACCAAAUAUGACACAUUUGAGAAAUAGUUUUCAACGUCCUCUUUCAGCAAUGAGAGGCAGUUCUAAAGAACGUGAGUGCUCUGCUAAAUGCAUGAAAGCAUGUACGGAGAAAAGGGUUCUUUCAUUAACACUUGGCAUCAUACUAAAGUUUCAUCGUUUUGUUGUCUCUACGGAUCUGUCGAUUUAAUGGUGAUAGAUCAGAUGGGUUAUCGUUUUUAACAGAAACGUAUAGAGGAAUAAUGAAUAUUUAUUGAUGCUAUGAUUAUAUUGAGAGGAUUGAUAAAUCAACUAAUCGAACUUGAAACUGAAGGUUUAUCACGUAAAAGUGUUCGUCGAGAAAAAUAUAGAUGAUAUAAAGUUCUUUUAAAUGAAUGUUAAUGUGAACGCAUUAAAUUCACAGUUUUGGUGAGAAACGUUCUCUGCGUGACACGUAAGCGUUUUACUAGAUAAAAGCUUCUCGUGAAGCCACGUCACCACAUCACAUUCCUUGCCAAUAAAUUUUUAAGGGAAGUUUUAAAAGUGCUUUUCCUUUAAUAUAUAGGAGAUAUGUCUUAUUAAAAUAGAAAUACACUUUAAAAUUAACCCUUAGACUUACAAAAUAUUUACAACCCAAUGCCACUGAAAUAACCAAAUAAACCUAUUUUCAAGUAAUUUUUGUCUUUUCCAAAAUUAAUGAAGUAAUAACUACUCAUAAUUCUAUGCUUUCUAUGUCUUUUUCAAAAUUAAUAAAAUAUUUCCUAAAUUAAAUUUAUCUUUUACCUUAUCUAUUUCAUAUUAAUAUUAUAAACAUUAAUGAAUACCAAUAAUAUACACAAAAUAUUUAUGUAACAAUAUAAGUUACAUUUUGUCUCAUUCUCCCCCACAAUUCACGUUACUCUUCUUUUAUUUUUGAACAUUUUUUUCUUCUUUACCAAUAUAACUAUAUUACUACAUACACCAUUAUACAAGUAAUUAUUUACCAACUUACCAUGUAUAUAAAAUAAUUUUAUUUGACAUUAUCAUAAAAUUUUGAUCCAAAAAAAAAAAAAUUGUAUAGAUGUAUAGAUCAUAUUCUAAAAAUGGUGGUAAUAUAAUUGACGGUUUACUAGACAAAAUAAAAUUAAACAAUAUAAACUAUAAAAUCAUUAUGCUUAUAAAUGUUAUUCUUUCCGUUUCGUUAUGUAAGUAGUUUUGCUUAAAACACGAAUAUUAAGAAACUUUAACAUUUUCUAAAACAGCAAUAAAAACGUUUUUUAUUUAUUGCAUACAUUUAUUCUGUCUGCAACAUUUAAUUAGAGAGAGAUUAUUGCUAGUAAUAAAAUUAAUAAAAGUUAAUACCAACAUUGUUAGUAAUAAAAUUAAUAAAAGUUAAUACCAACAAUCACACGUUUGAGUUUUUAAGAAAUUUUUUGCAACAUUUUGGAGCCGAGUGAAUAGGCCUGGGCAUUUUACCCGGACCCGAAGACCCGAACCGGAACCGACCCGAAAAUACAGGUUUGGGUCCGGGUCCGGGUCCAUGCUAAGUACCUAUUAGUGUUAUAGUUAAUAUAUCAUUUAUAAAUAACAUGUUAAUUCAUAAUUGUUCAUUUUCAUACUUUUUAUUUAAAAAAUUUGUUUGCUAUAUCUUAGACAUGGUUAGAUUUUUUAUAUAAUACCCAAUAUCAUGAUACGUUUUACGCUAAAAUGCUAAAAUAUAAAAUUAAGUACAAAUAUAAUUUACAUUUACAUUUACAUACACGACUACAUUUACAAAUAUAUCAUUAAAUACAAACAUAAAUUAAAUACUCGCGCAGAUCAAAGUCUAGUACUCCCUCUGUUUCUAAAUGUAAGAUGUUUUAAAGAAUUUUAAUGUUUCAAUAUAUAAGAUGUUUUCAUUUUCCUAGGUAACUUUUACUUUAUUAAAAACUGUGCAACCAAUCAUAUUUAAUAAUCUAUUUUGUAAUUGGUUGAAUAUCAUUAAUUUAUAGUUUUAAUGUUGUUUUCUAGACAAUUUUUUUUUUAAUAUGUGUAUUUUUAACUGAAUAUUAUAUAUUUAGAAACAGAUGGAGUAUCUAUCUAUCUAUAUAAAUAAAUGGGACUUUUCUCCCACCUCAGGCCGCCACGUCACCAAACAAGGAUAGGCGUUUUUGGACACGUGGCCUCUUCUUUCUUCGUGUGUUCUCGACUUUUUUUUAGCGGCAAAGGAAAGUGGGCCAUGGCCCGUAACGAGUGUUUAGUUGGCCGGAGGCCAAGAUAUGUCGUCACCAACAACAAAAUUAAAGCAAAAAAAAACAAAAAAAAAAACAAAGCUUCACCCUUUACACUUCCACGAUUCUUUUAAUGCUUCCAAAACUCUACCAUCAAUUGUAACGCAUGAUUUAACUCUUCAAAUUUUUUGUACCAUAUAUUUAUUGUUCAGAUCUACUCUUCAUCUCGACAUAAAUCUCUGCAAAAUUACCUCUUACUCAAAGUUCCAAUAGAUAGACAGCAGCCGCUAGGGCUAGAAAUCAUGAUAGGAAUCACGAGUUUUCUUUUGUAAUGGAGAUUCGGUUGCGAAAUUGAGAAAUCUCUCAACGAAGCUGCACAAUCUGAUGACUGAGGAACUUUGAGAUGGUGCGUCUAGACGACGAUGAUGGAGCAAAUCAAAACUUACAUAGUGAAAACAGAUUGGCUUUCACAGUAAGCAUGUGGAUUUCAGACAUGUGGUAGAAUUUUAGCUGUGGGAAAUUCAAUCGAAAAGAUCAGAUAUCUAGAAAGUCCCCAAAGGCAGCUGUUGUCGCAGAUUGUGAACUCAUCUCUUAUAAAAGCAUACUUCCAACACAUUCCAUGUCCUUUUGUACCUUUGGUAUCUUCCACCAUAAUUAUUUGGUGAUUGCGUAUGUUUUUGGCUUUUUGAUUCAAGAAGGAACAGAGACAAUGCUUCUCCAAGGUUCCAUCUUUGUUCAUCGCCUUAACACUUUUAAACACAUGCUGAAAGAGGGAGCUGUUUACAAGCUCAGUAGGUUUGAUGUUACCUGAUGAAGGUAACUGAACUGAUACCAUUUUAUCUUUGCAUAAUCAGUGAAUAAAACUGGUGUCUCAGACACUACUCUUAUUGACUUUCAAGAGGUAAGAAACUAUCUUUUACAUUGCUUCUUCCAUGUUCUUACUUACCCUCAAAAUGAUUUUAGGGAAACUCUAUCCUCUAGCUUCAUCAAGACCGUUUGAAUCUACUGCUUGCUUUAUAGCCAAAGAAUAUGAUGUUAACAGAGAGCAAGUCUAGAAACUCAUUAGGCAAUAUCUUGGGGUUGAGGAUGCACCCAGUAAAUCUUUUGUUUUUGUAUUUUGAUUGAUAUUCUUCAAUAGAUUUCUCUCGAUGAACGAGCGCUCUUUAGGUGACGAUGGAGAGGCUCAUUCUACAUAAUGAGGCUUUAUCUAUUGUUUACUAUCGCAUUGAGUGGAAUAUGAGACAUGCUCUGAAGCCUACAUAUGAAACUCUCUUUGAGAUGUUAAAAUACUCAUCCUGGAGGGUUGCAUUUUUUUGUCCAUCCUAUGUGUUCACCUUCAUUAGUCAUACUACAGAUGUGGCUUAGUCCUGCUUCUUUAAAGCUUGAUCAAAUCACUUGGGAUGAUCAUGAUUGCUUGCUUGAGAAAACUGUUGCUAAUGAGAUAUGUGAAAGUAUUUUCUAUUACAAUAAUAUCCAAAACAACUUCGGUUUUUUAUCUAACAUUCUCUUAUUUAUAAAGCGGUGCAACAAAUCAGCAACAUCUUCGAUCUUAAAAAAUAUUUGGAAUAGGGCCUCUAUGCUUUGGUUAUUAUCAUCCAUCUAUUCAUGGUUAGUUUUAUACACAUGUUUCUUUGAUCGUCACCAGCUUAUACCUACUGCAACUUUUGCAUUACGUGUUUACCAAUUCUUUCAUAUACUAUGUACUUCUCCUUUUAACAUACAGUCUAACAUCUUAUAAUGCGUUUGGACAGGGCGGGGACAACAACCUAGGUGACGAUACGCCAGGAGCCUCAUGUGUGUCCUGCAUCUGCUCAAAAAAUCACAAGCUUUCUGCAACUGAUCAGGCCACCGGCAGUGGUGUUUUGAAACCAAACCGCAAUCUGCCUUGGUUGCAUGCAUCCCCAAUGCUUUAAGCUAGUUUUAUCUUCCUCUCUGGCUCCAGCUGAUGAUCCUCAUCAUCAGAUUGAUGAUCCUCUUGCACGUUCAUUAACGACAUGAUCUGUUCAUCAUGUAGUUUCCUCCUCCUAUAUAGACAACAAAAUUUAUGUACGACUUUAACUAUGUAUCAAUGGAGAGAGAAAGUGAGAGAUUAGAACCGUUGAAGAGAUGAUUAGGAGGACAAGAAGGGAGUUGAUCAUGACUACUGUCUUCAUGGAGUUGUUGGAACAUAAAACCAUUUUGAGGAAACGCCAUCUCCAAUCUCAAUCCUGCGGCUGCGUCCGUGGUCGGAUCAAAUACAUACAUGUAUAUUCAAAUUACCUCCACCAAUGAUAUAGUUCACUGAUAUAUAUAUCUAGAUUGUGAAGUUACUACCUAGUGAUGAUCAAAUGCUUAA